GGUCACAAGACUUGUUCCCGCAUACGAGUUUUGUAUUAGAUCUUUCCCCUCCAUCCACGACAACGUCCCAGAACAUAGCCAGACACGGAUGCAAUGAAACCUUCUACAGGCGGGAAGCAGUAUGAAACGGAAACUUCACAGCAAGCACAGACAGAUGCUUGUUCAGUUUUUCUGGAUGUCGUUGUGGACGGCGGUGAAAGAUCGAAACUUGACUCACAUGCGGGGACCGGUUUUAUUUACC